UGGGGAAUAUUGGACAAUGGGCGAAAGCCUGAUCCAGCCAUGCCGCGUGUGUGAAGAAGGUCUUCGGAUUGUAAAGCACUUUAAGUUGGGAGGAAGGGCAUUAACCUAAUACGUUAGUGUUUUGACGUUACCGACAGAAUAAGCACCGGCUAACUCUGUGCCAGCAGCCGCGGUAAUACAGAGGGUGCAAGCGUUAAUCGGAAUUACCGGGCGUAAAGCGCGCGUAGGUGGUUUGUUAAGUUGGAUGUGAAAUCCCCGGGCUCAACCUGGGAACUGCAUUCAAAACUGACUGACUAGAGUAUGGUAGAGGGUGGUGGAAUUUCCUGUGUAGCGGUGAAAUGCGUAGAUAUAGGAAGGAACACCAGUGGCGAAGGCGACCACCUGGACUAAUACUGACACUGAGGUGCGAAAGCGUGGGGAGCAAACA
rnacentral:rRNA from 1 species